rnacentral:tRNA from 3 species
GGCGGAGUAGCUCAGUUGGUUAGAGCACCGGAAUCAUAAUCCGGGUGUCGGCGGUUCGAGUCCGCCCUCCGCUACCA